UCCGUAAGGAUUAUACGAUAGUGGCGAACGGCUGAGUAACGCGUAAGUAACCUACCUCUAAGUGGGGAAUAACUUACCGAAAGGUAAGCUAAUACCGCAUGUGGUGGCGGAUGUUAAUUUGUCAGUAAAGCCUUCGGGCGCUUAGAGAAGGGCUUGCGUCUGAUUAGUUUGUUGGUGGGGUAAUGGCCUACCAAGGCGAUGAUCAGUAGCUGGUCUGAGAGGAUGACCAGCCAGAUAGGGACUGAGACACGGCCCUGACUCCUACGGGAGGCAGCAGCAAGGAAUCUUGCGCAAUGGGCGAAAGCCUGACGCAGCGACGCCGCGUGGGGGAUGAAUGCUUUCGAGUUGUAAACCCCUUUUCCUGAGGAAGAAUAAUGACGAUACUCAGGGAAUAAGUCUUGGCUAACUACGUGCCAGCAGCCGCGGUAAUACGUAGAAGGCAAACGUUAUUCGGAUUUACUGGGCGUAAAGCGGGUGUAGACGGCUUUUUAAGUCGAUUGUGAAAUCUCCAGACUCAAUUUGGAGGGGACAGUCGAAACUAAGAGGCUAGAGGGCGACAGAGGAAGGCGGAAUUCCCGGUGUAGCGGUGAAAUGCGUAGAUAUCGGGAGGAACACCAGUGGCGAAGGCGGCCUUCUGGGUCGCACCUGACGUUGAGACCCAAAAGCGUGGGGAGCAAAACGGAUUAGAUACCCGUGUAGUCCACGCCCUAAACGUUGGACACUAGGUAUGGGGGGUAUCGACCCUCUCUGUGCCGAAGCUAACGCUUUAAGUGUCCCGCCUGGGGACUACGGCCGCAAGGUUAAAACUCAAAGAAUUGACGGGGGCCCGCACAAGCAGCGGAGCGUGUGGUUUAAUUCGAUGCUACGCGAAGAACCUUACCAAGGCUUGACAUGCUAGUAGUAGAAACCCGAAAGGGAGACGACCUGUAUCCAGUCAGGAACUAGUACAGGUGCUGCAUGGUUGUCGUCAGCUCGUGCCGUGAGGUGUUAGGUUAAGUCCUGCAACGAGCGCAACCCUUGUCGUUAGUUAAUAUCUCUAGCGAGACUGCCCGUACAACGAGGAGGAAGGUGAGGAUGACGUCAAAUCAGCAUGGCCCUUACGCCUUGGGCUACACACACGCUACAAUGGGUGAUACAAUGGGUUGCUAACGAGCGAUCUGGAGCUAAUCCCAAAAAUCAUCCUCAGUUCGGAUUGCAGGCUGAAACUGCCUGCAUGAAGGCGGAGUUGCUAGUAACCGCAGGUCAGCACACUGCGGUGAAUACGUUCUCGGGCCUUGUACACACCGCCCGUCACGUCAUGGGAGUCGGUAACACCUGAAGUCGAUGGACUAACCUUCGGGGAGUAGUCGCCGAGGGUGGGACCGGUAACUGGGACGAAGUCGUAACAAGGUA
rnacentral:rRNA from 1 species